UAUAUAUGGAUCAUAUGAAUAUGAUUUUGAACUCCUUUUAGAUCCAUUUGAAUGACAUAAGUUUGCUCCACACCAUUGUUAGAAAUUUGCCCUAUUGGAUCCGUAUCAUUCUCUCCUUCUUUAGAAAAGAUUCGUCCUCGAAUCUUGUUGAUAUUUAUGUCAAAAAGGGAAGCUUUAGGAACCCAUGUAUCUUCAAAGACCUCCUUUUGAAUAGGUGGAAAUAGGACAAAACUUUCGUCAUGAAUGUUUUCAUCAAC
rnacentral:lncRNA from 1 species